UUUGUGUGAUAUAGGAUCCGGUGGUUAGAAUAAUUUUUGGUGAUUCAUAUGAAUUGCAUGUCUCUUUUUGAGUAGUUUGUCACAUUGAUAGAAGCGUCUAGGAUUAAGUUGGGAUUCACCAUGAUUUGGAAAUGAUAUUUUAGUAGGUUUGCACAUAACUCAUGUGAUUUUUCUUUUUGGAUUGACAAUCCUAUCUUUAGUAUGACUCAAUAGUAGUUAGAAAGUCUUUGACCUCAAUCUUAUGGAAAAGUGUUCUUAGUGCUUUUUUUGGAGGCAUUUUGUUUUUGUUGAUAUGAGUUAACUGAGACUCUAACGUGUCUAAUUUCUCGGAGGAGGGUGGUGUUUAUUGCUUUGAGUUUUUUUCUCCUUCAGAAUUUUUGUUGUUGCCAAAAUUUUGACUUGUUUUUAUAUUAUAUAUUUUUAGUUUUGGUUUUUUUUUUCAUUUU
rnacentral:lncRNA from 1 species